AACGUAGGGGACAAGCGUUAUCCGGAUUUACUGGGCGUAAAGCGCCCGUAGGCGGCUUUUUAAGUUGGACGUGAAAGCUCCCGGCUUAACUGGGAGAGGCCGUUCAAAACUGAGAGGCUAGAGUGAGGCAGAGGAGCGCGGAAUUCCCGGUGUAGUGGUGGAAUGCGUAGAUAUCGGGAGGAACACCAGUGGCGAAGGCGGCUCACUGGCCCGGUACUGACGCUGAGGUGCGAAAGCGUGGGGAGCAAACAGG
rnacentral:rRNA from 1 species